UUUAACUCAGCAUUUCCUAAACUUAAUUGCCAAUGUGACUUUACUUUUUUAAAGAAACACAAUAAAUAUCUCUUCUUCCAAAUUUCCUUAAUAAUGAAGCCUGCUUUCCUGUUUUUAUUUGUUUGUUUCUAUCUCCUUCCUCCAGGGCAUCCCCAUUUAAUGCUGUUUCUGCAAGACGGCAGCCUCAAACACAAUUUUCUAAAUCAACCACAAGGUGGCUCUGCUUGUCUUACAAAAGAAGGCUGUGGGCUCUUUCCUAACGUCUGGCUCGCAGGGCCUUUAAAGAGGAGGGCUUGAGUCUUGUGCCAGACAAGGUAGCCAGGUGUAGGGAAGGCUGGGGUGUUACCUGUGUACACGGGUUAAGUUAGAACUGUUGUCGUCUGACCCAGAUGGUGGAGUUUUCAAAAGAAUGUUGUAAGAAGUGGGGUUUUCUGGCUGUCCCUUCCAUGUUUCCAUUUUGAGGAUACGUUUCCGUGGAGUUCAGGAAACUGGACGCCUUUCUUCCAGGUCUUUGAGAAUAAAAAGAUGUUGAAGCAGGAAGCCAGAGCUGUUGGCACUGAGCUCUUUAGUGUCCUAAUCUCCAGCUUGGCCCUCAGUGCUGAUGAAUCCAUUCUAAUUAGCAGCAGCAGGAGCGAUUCAGUAGUGCUCCUAGCCUGACUGCACCGUUUCCGAAGAAUUGCUUUUUGCAGGCGUAUGCACUUUUAAUGAACGGGGAAAAAUAAUCGUUGUCCUCAAGGCCAAGAAAGGGAUAUUUCUCACUGCAUUGAAAGGGCUCAUAAGGAUUGCACUGCAUCUCUUGAUCAACGAUUUUUUAAAAUGUCCACUGGGGAAAAAAAAAGCAUUGUCAACAACCUCUAUUCCCUUCUUCAACACUGCACAUGAAAAUUUCAUUUGCUCCCAUGCUGGAAGAAUAUUUAGUAACUCCACGUAAAAGAAUGGAAUUCUUUAGGGAUGAAACCAUUUCAGAAGAUAGUCAUGGACAUUGAAUGUAAUGGAGAUUGAGAUAAGAAGAAACAAGAACCAAAGGGAGGAGGGGCACUGACUAUCCACAAUGAACAAUUCCCUGAGGUGACUGAGUCAUUUUUCUGCUGACAAUUGGAUCUAAUGCCAAGGACAGCUUCAGUAAAAAGUGCCAUGAUGGCCCCGUCUGUGCCCAAUGCCUGUAAACCAAGGGAAUGAACACACUCAGCCCUGCAGGGAGAGUUUCGCCACCAGCCAGAGCCACCAGCAGGGGCGGCUCUACCCUUGUCUCCUUCCUGGUGGAGGCCACCCUGCAGCGCCCGUGCAGCCACUGAGAGCUGGGAGCUGCCCUCUCCACAGCGGUCCCUGGCUGGGGCGACCCGCCAACCCUCCUGUGCCCCAAGCCCUUGCAUUCAGCAGCUCUUUUGAGGACCUUAUCCACAUCUCACGAGCAGGUACAGAAGCUCCCCACAUCAAAACCUGACAAGGCACUGGACAGGAUGAAUUCUGGGGGCCUCAGCACUCACAGGGAGAAGGUAAAGGCAUGAAGGGGAAGAGGACCUUUGAGGGUCCGGGCCAGGGAAAGGGCAAUGGUGAGGAUGCAGUGGGAACAGAGGUAGAUGAAGGGGCCCUGCUGGGGAGGCACAACUGACUGAGAUCCACACCCGGGGCCUUCCUGCCACAGAGGAGGUGGGAUUUUGACCGGGGAGGACAGGACCCUGGGUCUUGUGCAAGUGUUUCCUCUCAGGGAGCAUCAAAGUCUGGGGCGGUCAAGUCAGCCUCGGAUUGGGAGUGGGAGGCCCAUUCACCCUUGGCCCUCAGCUGGGCACUGCUCAUUUAGGAGGUCAAGUCAGAGCCUGAGUGGGACUCUCCAUGCCCCCUGGGUACGAUGGACCCUCCAGCUCUGGCCAGAUUCCUCUAGAGACCCAAGAUCUUAGACCCUGGCACACCCUAAGGGACUGUGAGGAUCAGGGGGCACCCUUCCUUAGGGUCUGCAAAGUGUUCUGUGAAAAGGAAAAAGAUCUUAGCUAUCUACGAUUAUCUAAGACUAUCUCAUAUUGAGUCCAUGUAGAGUGUUGCGGACACAGAUGGGAAUAAGGUGCAUGCUGAAGGAGGCUGUGGGCUCCGGGGUCUGACAACGGGGGGGAAGCAGGAAGAGGGCUACUAACUCUCAUCAGCUAAGCGUUGACAACGUGACAGGUGCCGUGAUGUAUGAUGAUCCUUCUGGCGAGUAUUAUCACUCGUGCAGAGAUGGAAAAAUCAGGGGCUCUGUGUUUGGAUGGCUUGCCCAAGGUCACACACCUGAUCAGUGUGGAGAGUUUAGAUGAAAGCUGGUCCUGUCUGAUUUCACAGCCGGAGUCUUAACCCCUAGGCUCUCCCAAAUUAUUUUGAAUACUCUGGUGGCUGUAAUUUGGAAUCCUGCCCUACACUUUCCAAAGAGUGGGAAAGCAGCCUGAGGAUUGAAUAAACAAAAUAUGGGAUACCCCCCUGGGGACAGAGCAAUCUGCUCCCAGCUCACAAGUGCGCAGUGUCACUCGGCUGGUCCCUCUCUUAGGGGAGGUACAAUGAAUCGCUCAGGUUCCUCUGCCCCAAACCAUGGUCAGAAUCCCCACUAACCUUUUCCACACCAGUUCCCCUCCGUCUACCCUAAGCUGCCCUUGCCUCUUCUUUCGGUUAGGGCCACACUGUGUGGGAAAGGCGUGCAAAUGUCAGGGAAAAUUCCCUGAAAGAGCAGACACAUGUCCUUUCAUCAGAUUGUCAAAGGUUUUGAUUCCCUGUUCCCACAGUCUCUUCAUGUCUCUUUUAAAAAAGGCUUUAAAGAUAUAUUUGCUUUGUAGAAAACAUAGAUAAAUAGGAAAAUGGAAAGCAUUCAUCUCAUCGCUAACAAAUAACCACUGUCCCUGUUUCGGCAUCUCUUUCUCCCUCUGCCCAAGGAACGAGUAGGUGUAAGAAGCAAAGCUCAAUUGUUGCCUUUGGGGAGGUGGGGAGUUAUAAAGCUAUUACAGUUUUGGUAAGAAGUUCAAGUUGUGUCUGCUGUUUAAGCCACCGAAGUGUUCAAAUGACUCAACUGUCCUCACUUUGUAAUUUAAAUAACAUAGAAGAUGUGUGUUAAACCCGUAAUCAAUAAGUAAAUGCUCAAGUAAAAAUGUUUUUCAAGAUGAUAUUCAUUAAAUGUCUGAGUUUAGUAAGCCAAGCACAAAAGCCAAUACAGACAGUGCCAAGUGCUGCUUUCCGGCAGCACAUGCCCUUUGGACCUGAAGGAGUAGCAAGUUGAAGGAUGUGUGAUGACUGACACCUGGGAGAGAGUGAUGACAGGACAACAUAGAGAAUGCCAGAUAGACCCAGGAGGGACCAGAAACAUGGCAGUGACAGGAGCACAGAUGCCUCAGAUGCUUGCGAACAAGGAGCUGCUUGGGGAGGGUGGCAGGAUGGCCACCUUUGCUCAGCCAGAACCUCUUUACCCCAGAUGAGGGCAAGAAGAAUGGGUGGGCACAGAGGCAGGAAGAAGCGUGGUAUGAGAGCCUCAGCAUGGAGUGGAGGAGGGAAAGAGUGAAAUGACUUCAUUUCUGGGGAGGACUGAGAGGUGGUAAAUGGGCACCUGCCCCAACCCCCAUGAUCCAGAAAAGUCUAAGAUGGCCCAAGCAAUUAAGAUGAAGAAAAUGAAGCCAGAAGGGCUGGUUAGGGCAGAAGGCUAUACCACUGCCUCCCCACGUCCAGGUUGAAACUGUUCAUGUAGCACCAGGGACCCUAUGUGGAGCCUGUGCAGGGAAAUAGGAAGGUAACUGCAACUGGAAGCCACCGCAGGCGGGACAGAGCCUCGGGGCUGCCACCAGCCAAACCUCCAAGUGGCCCCCAACGUUUGCAGGGCUCAGCCCAGCGCGAGCCCGGAGGAGGGAUCCGUGCACCGAACUCCAAGGUCACACAAGUGCAAGGAGGCGGGGCCGCCCAGGAGAGCGGCCACCGGCCAGCGGAACAUCAGCCCAGCCGUUGGUCCGGCCCCUGCAGGGAAGCCCUGGGAUCCCUGUACACCAGCAGCGCCCCUGCCCAAUCGCCGGGAGACCCCCGUUCGAG